rnacentral:rRNA from 1 species
UACAGAGGGGGCAAGCGUUAUUCGGAAUUACUGGGCGUAAAGGGCGCGUAGGCGGCCUGUUAAGUCGAACGUGAGAUCCCCGGGCUCAACCCGGGAACUGCGUCCGAAACUGGCAGGCUUGAAUCCGGGAGAGGGAUGUGGAAUUCCAGGUGUAGCGGUGAAAUGCGUAGAUAUCUGGAGGAACACCGGUGGCGAAGGCGGCAUCCUGGACCGGUAUUGACGCUGAGGCGCGAAAGCCAGGGGAGCAAACGGG